GAUGAACGCUGGCGGCGUGCCUAAUACAUGCAAGUCGAGCGAACAGACGAGGAGCUUGCUCCUCUGACGUUAGCGGCGGACGGGUGAGUAACACGUGGAUAACCUACCUAUAAGACUGGGAUAACUUCGGGAAACCGGAGCUAAUACCGGAUAAUAUAUUGAACCGCAUGGUUCAAUAGUGAAAGACGGUUUUGCUGUCACUUAUAGAUGGAUCCGCGCCGCAUUAGCUAGUUGGUAAGGUAACGGCUUACCAAGGCGACGAUGCGUAGCCGACCUGAGAGGGUGAUAGGCCACACUGGAACUGAGACACGGUCCAGACUCCUACGGGAGGCAGCAGUAGGGAAUAUUCCGCAAUGGGCGAAAGCCUGACGGAGCAACGCCGCGUGAGUGAUGAAGGUCUUCGGAUCGUAAAACUCUGUUAUUAGGGAAGAACAAAUGUGUAAGUAACUAUGCACGUCUUGACGGUACCUAAUCAGAAAGCCACGGCUAACUACGUG
rnacentral:rRNA from 1 species